rnacentral:rRNA from 1 species
UCAACCAUUACUACUCGCAUCGUGCUUAAUGAUGCAGAACCAAGCUCCGUCGUGAAGGUUUGAUCCAUUUCGAAUGCCUACAGUGGCGCCGAGCAGGCUCCAGAUAUAAAAAACACCCCGGAGGGGUAUACAAUUAGGUUUUGUUGUCCUCCGGCGGCGCCUGUCGGGGCUGCGACGCACCCGGGGCAGAGAUCCCGCCGAGGCAACAGUUUGGUAACGUUCACAUUGGGUUUGGGAGUUGUAAACUCGGUAUUUCUGUAAGGGGGUGACUGCGGAGGGAUCAUUAGCGAGUUUACAACUCCCAAACCCAAUGUGAACGUUACCAAACUGUUGCCUCGGCGGGAUCUCUGCCCCGGGUGCGUCGCAGCCCCGGACCAAGGCGCCCGCCGGAGGACCAACCAAAACUCUUAUUGUAUACCCCCUCGCGGGUUUUUUUAUAAUCUGAGCCUUCUCGGCGCCUCUCGUAGGCGUUUCGAAAAUGAAUCAAAACUUUCAACAACGGAUCUCUUGGUUCUGGCAUCGAUGAAGAACGCAGCGAAAUGCGAUAAGUAAUGUGAAUUGCAGAAUUCAGUGAAUCAUCGAAUCUUUGAACGCACAUUGCGCCCGCCAGUAUUCUGGCGGGCAUGCCUGUCCGAGCGUCAUUUCAACCCUCGAACCCCUCCGGGGGGUCGGCGUUGGGGAUCGGCCCUCCCUUAGCGGGUGGCCGUCUCCGAAAUACAGUGGCGGUCUCGCCGCAGCCUCUCCUGCGCAGUAGUUUGCACACUCGCAUCGGGAGCGCGGCGCGUCCACAGCCGUUAAACACCCAACUUCUGAAAUGUUGACCUCGGAUCAGGUAGGAAUACCCGCUGAACUUAAGCAUAUCAAUAAGCGAGAGGAACU